UCCUAUGAUACAUGUCGCUCUCACCUGAAGCAUAGCUGCCCAAUGCUUUCAUAACAUCAUGAGAGAAUUAAGAAAGAAGCUGCCAUCAAAUUGAACGCUGGAAGGAGCCAUGAGAGUUGGCAUUACCAACG
rnacentral:pre_miRNA from 1 species